UAAGACGGAGGAUGCAAGUGUUAUCCGGAAUCACUGGGCGUAAAGCGUCUGUAGGUGGUUUGAUAAGUCAACUGUUAAAUCUUGAGGCUCAACUUCAAAAUCGCAGUCGAAACUAUUAGACUAGAGUAUAGUAGAGGCAAAGGGAAUUUCCAGUGGAGCGGUGAAAUGCGUAGAUAUUGGAAAGAACACCGAUGGCGAAAGCACUUUACUGGGCUAUUACUAACACUCAGAGACGAAAGCUAGGGUAGCAAAUGGGAUUAGAUACCCCAGUAGUCCUAGCUGUAAACUAUGGAUACUAGAUGUUGAACAGAUCGACCUGUGCAGUAUCAAAGCUAACGCGUUAAGUAUCCCGCCUGGGAAGUAUGCACGCAAGUGUG
rnacentral:rRNA from 1 species